rnacentral:rRNA from 1 species
UACGUAGGGGGCAAGCGUUGUCCGGAUUUAUUGGGCGUAAAGAGCGUGUAGGCGGCUAGAUAGGUCCGUUGUGAAAACUCGAGGCUCAACCUCGAGACGUCGAUGGAAACCAUCUGGCUAGAGUCCGGAAGAGGGAAGUGGAAUUCCCGGUGUAGUGGUGAAAUGCGUAGAUAUCGGGAGGAACACCAGUGGCGAAAGCGGCUUCCUGGCCCGACACUGACGCUCAUGUACGAAAGCGUGGGGAGCAAACAGG